rnacentral:rRNA from 1 species
CAGUCGAACGAUGAAGUCCUAGCUUGCUAGGAUGGAUUAGUGGCGCACGGGUGACGCUUUAUAUAGUUAAUCUGCCCUACACAGAGGAACAACAGUUGGAAACGGCUGCUAAUACCUCAUACUCCUAUUUAACAUAAGUUAAAUAGGGAAAGUCUUUUCGGUGUAGGAUGAGACUAUAUCGUAUCAGCUAGUUGGUAAGGUAAUGGCUUACCAAGGCUAUGACGCGUAACUGGUCUGAGAGGAUGAUCAGUCACAUUGGAACUGAGACACGGUCCAAACUCCUACGGGAGGCAGCAGUAAGGAAUAUUGCGCAAUGGGGGAAACCCUGACGCAGCAACGCCGCGUGGAGGAUGACACUUUUCGGAGCGUAAACUCCUUUUAUCAGGAAAGAAUAAUGACGGUACCUGAUGAAUAAGCACCGGCUAACUCCGUGCCAGCAGCCGCGGUAAUACGGGGGGUGCAAGCGUUACUCGGAAUCACUGGGCGUAAAGGACGCGUAGGCGGAUUAUCAAGUCUUUUGUGAAAUCUAGUGGCUUAACCACUAAACUGCUUAGGAAACUGAUAGUCUAGAGUAGGGGAGAGGUAGAUGGAAUUCUUGGUGUAGGGGUAAAAUCCGUAGAGAUCAAGAAGAAUACCCAUUGCGAAAGCGAUCUGCUGGAACCUAACUGACGCUGAGGCGUGAAAGCGUGGGUAGCAAACAGGAUUAGAUACCCUGGUAGUCCACGCCCCAAACGAUGUAUACUAGUUGUUGCUUUGCUAGUCAAGGCAGUAAUGCAGCUAACGCAUUAAGUAUACCGCCUGGGGAGUACGGUC